GCGGAGGAAAAGAAACUAACAAGGAUUCCCCUAGUAACGGCGAGUGAAGCGGGAUGAGCUCAAGCUUAAAAUCUCCGUGCAAUUUUUGCAUGGCGAAUUGUAGUCUAUAGAGGCGUGGUCAGUAUGAGCACUUUGAGAAAGUUCUUUGGAAGAGGACAGCAUGGAGGGUGAUACUCCCGUUUAUCUCUUAGCUACUUGUGCGUAAGACCCGUUUUCUUUGAGUCGCGUUGUUUGAGAAUGCAGCGCAAAGUAGGUGGUAAAUUCCAUCUAAAGCUAAAUAUUGGUGCGAGACCGAUAGCAAACAAGUACCGUGAGGGAAAGAUGAAAAGAACUUUGAAAAUAGAGUUAAAGAGUACCUGAAACUGCUGAAAGGGAACCAAAUCGUUUCCAGUGUCUAUAAUCCGUGGUAUAUUUCAUUGGCGAUUGUAUGCGUGCGUGUGCUGUUGCAGUGACCUUUUGGUUGCGCUCGGCGCGUGUGUUGUGUAUGCUUGUUGGUGCCCUGUGCUGCGGUGGGACGUCAAGGUCAGUUCGUAUGCUGCGGGAAAUGGCUACCGAGGAGGUAGGGCUUACGCUUGCGUUUGUCUGUUAUAUCUUGGUAGACGAGUAGCCGCGGUUGGGACUGAGGUGCCUACAACGUGCUUUUGAGUGGGCUUGGGUCUCCGUGUGCGCUGUGUGCGGAUAGCUUGCUAUGCGUGUGCGGUUGUGUGUGGAUUGAUGCGGGCCGUAACUUGUAGUCGUUCGGGACGUUGACGAAAUGGAGCGAU
rnacentral:rRNA from 1 species